ACUGGCUCUGCACCCCUUUACCUAAAUUCAUUACUUCAGACUUAUGUGCCUCUAGAAGCUUGCGUUCUGCAAGUGAACAUCGCUUGAUUGUGCCAUCCCAAAGAAGCACAAAGUCACUUUUACGGACUUUUAAGUUAAAUAUUCCUCCUGGUGGAAUGACCUGCCCAACUCAAUCCGAGCAGCUGAGUCCUUAGCCAUCUUCAAGAAUCGGCUUAAAACACAUCUCUUCCAUCUUUAUUUGACCCUCUAACUUUUUCACUCACUAUUCUAAUUCUAUUUUUUUUAAAAAUAAAAAAUCUAACUACCUUUCUAAUCUUUUUGUAUUCUAUUUUCUUUUCAUUUAUUAUACAAUUAUAAAAAAAGACCUCUAACACUAGCUUGCUCUAUUCUUUUUCUAUUCUAUCUGUUUUCUUUUUAUUUAUUAUAUUAUUUAAAAGCCCUUGCUACGUAUACUGCGUUUAGGCUAACUGAGACUUGUUAUAGCACUUGUAUAUCAUUGCUCUUUUGUUGUUUUUGAUUGCUUCCAUUGUCCUACAAUUAAAUGAUUUUUACCAUUACAUUAAACUCUUGUAUCAUGUGUAUAUCAUGUUCCAUGUAACGUUCUGUUCAUUUUAGACAGCAGCGUGUGAACGGGACUUUUAUUUUGGUGUGGUGGCGUGACGUCAUAAGGCUGCGGCGCGCUCUCGCGUCUGUUAUGACUCGACUGAAGAAAGAAAAACUCCUGCUGAAGCGACUGAGAUCCACCUGACACACUGUGAUAAAGAUGGCGUUUAUCAAAGAGGAGAGUGAAGACAUUAGGAUUAAAGACGUAUUCAGCAUGAAAGAAGAAGAUACUGAGACACGAAUGGAGAUGGCGUUUAUUACAGAGGAGAGUGAAGACAUGAGGACUGAAGAAACAUUCAGCACGAAACGAGAAGAUACGCAGACACAAACAAACCUGGUGUUUAUUAAAGACGAGAGUGAAAACAUUAGGAUCGAAGACGUGUUCAGCAUCACAUGUGAAGAUAUAGAGACACAAACGUCUAUUAGAGAGAAGAGAGAAGACACGAAGAAGAAGAAACCAUUUAGAGUCAAGCAUGAAGAUGCUGAGACACAAACAGUCAGUCUUCUGUCUCAGUCAUCACCCAGCCUUCAGUGUACCAGUCAGCAUCUCCAACAUACAAAAGACUGUUAACUCCCAAGCUAAGUUACCACAAACUACACUAAAAUUUAUAAUCACCUAUUUGCAUUGCUGUGUCUCCAAUCUAACUUUGAAUAAAGUCUUUACUUUUGAUGUUAUUUCUGUCUCU
ensembl:lncRNA